rnacentral:rRNA from 1 species
GACGAACGCUGGCGGCGUGCUUAACACAUGCAAGUCGAACGGAAAGGCCCUGCUUUUGUGGGGUGCUCUGGUGGCGAACGGGUGAGUAACACGUGAGUAACCUGCCCUUGACUUUGGGAUAACUUCAUGAAACUUGGGCUAAUACCGGCUAGGAGCUCCUGCUGCAUGGUGGGGGUUGGAAAGUUUCGGCGGUUGGGGAUGGACUCGCGGCUUAUCAGCUUGUUGGUGGGGUAGUGGCUAACCAAGGCCUGGACGGGUAGCCGGCCUGAGAGGGUGACCGGCCACAUUGGGACUGAGAUACGGCCCAGACUCCUACGGGAGGCAGCAGUGGGGAAUAUUGCACAAUGGGCGGAAGCCUGAUGCAGCAACGCCGCGUGCGGGAUGACGGCCUUCGGGUUGUAAACCGCUUUCGCCUGUGACGAAGCGUGAGUGACGGUAAUGGGUAAAGAAGCACCGGCUAACUACGUG